AUAUAGGUCAAGCUACAAAGGGCGCAUGGUGAAUGCCUUGGCAUCAGGAGCCGAUGAAGGACGUGAUAAGCUGCGAUAAGCUUCGGGUAGGCGCACAUAGCCUGAGAUCCGAAGAUCUCCGAAUGAGGAAACUCACAUGGGAAACCCCAUGUAUCAUUAAGUGAAUACAUAGCUUAAUGAAGGUAACCCAGGGAACUGAAACAUCUAAGUACCUGGAGGAAGAGAAAGAAAAAUCGAUUUUCUUAGUAGCGGCGAGCGAAAGGGAAAGAGCCCAAACCGGAAACUUGUUUCCGGGGUUGAGGACAGAACAUAAAGAGAAGUAAUGGCUAAUUGAAGAGAACUGGAAAGUUCCACCGUAGAAGGUAAUAGUCCUGUAAAUGAAAGCUAGUAUAAUCGAGUUAUGAUCCAGAGUACCACGAGACACGUGAAACCUUGUGGGAAGCUGGGAGGACCACCUCCCAAGGCUAAAUACUACCUGAUGACCGAUAGUGAAGCAGUACCGUGAGGGAAAGGUGAAAAGAACCCCGGGAGGGGAGUGAAAUAGAACCUGAAACCGUGUGCCUACAACCGCUCAGAGCCCCUUAUGAGGGUGAUGAGGUGCUUUUUGUAGAACGAGCCAACGAGUUACGGUAUGUAGCAAGGUUAAGUACUUAAGGUACGGAGCCGAAGGGAAACCGAGUCUGAAUAGGGCGACUAGUUGCAUGCCGUAGACCCGAAACCGGGUGACCUAUCCAUGGCCAGGUUGAAGCGAGGGUAAAACCUCGUGGAGGACCGAACCACGUUGCUGUUGAAAAAGCAUGGGAUGAGCUGUGGAUAGCGGAGAAAUUCCAAUCGAACCCGGAGAUAGCUGGUUCUCUCCGAAAUAGCUUUAGGGCUAGCGUCGAGUAUGAGUAGUGGAGGUAGAGCACUGAAUGGGCUAGGGGGCAUAGCGCUUACCGAACCUUAUCAAACUCCGAAUGCCACAUACUUUGAGCUCGGCAGUCAGACUACGAAUGAUAAGAUCCGUGGUCAAAAGGGAAACAGCCCAGAUCGUCAGCUAAGGUCCCAAAGUGUAAGUUAAGUGGGAAAGGAUGUGAGAUUUCUAAGACAACUAGGAUGUUGGCUUAGAAGCAGCCAUUCAUUAAAAGAGUGCGUAAUAGCUCACUAGUCGAGAGAUCUUGCGCCGAAAAUGUAACGGGGCUAAACUUACCACCGAAGCUACGGGCUUGAACUUAGUUCAAGCGGUAGGAGAGCGUCGUAACCGGGCUGAAGUCGUACCGUAAGGAGCGGUGGACUGGUUACGAGUGAGAAUGUUGGCAUCAGUAGCGAGAUGUGGGUGAGAAUCCCACAGGCCGAAAACCUAAGGUUUCCUCAGGAAGGUUCGUCCGCUGAGGGUUAGUCGGGACCUAAGCCGAGGCCGAAAGGCGUAGGUGAUGGACAACUGGUUGAUAUUCCAGUACCACUACCAUCGUUAUUAUCGAUGGCGUGACGCAGGAGGAUAGUGUGUGCUAGCUAUUGGAUGCUAGUCUAAGCGUUUAGGCAGUGAGAGUAGGCAAAUCCGCUCUCAUAAUGCUGAGGCGUGAUGGGGAAGGUUCUACGGAACCGAAGUACAUGAUUCCACGCUGCCAAGAAAAGCGUCUAGAGAGAGAAGUAGUGCCCGUACCGCAAACCGACACAGGUAGGUGAGGAGAGAAUCCUAAGGCCGGCGGAAGAAUUACAGUUAAGGAACUCGGCAAAUUGACCCCGUAAGUUCGCGAGAAGGGGUGCCUACGAGAGUAGGCCGCAGAGAAUAGGCCCAAGCAACUGUUUAGCAAAAACACAGGUCUCUGCUAAAGCGUAAGCUGAUGUAUAGGGGCUGACGCCUGCCCGGUGCUGGAAGGUUAAGGGGAACACUUAGCGCAAGCGAAGGUGUGAACUUAAGCCCCAGUAAACGGCGGCCGUAACUAUAACGGUCCUAAGGUAGCGAAAUUCCUUGUCAGGUAAGUUCUGACCCGCACGAAUGGCGUAAUGACUUGGGCACUGUCUCAACUGUAAAUCCGGCGAAGUUGUAGUGCGAGUGAAGAUGCUCGCUACCCGCGAUUGGACGGAAAGACCCCGUAGAGCUUUACUGUAGCUUAGCAUUGAGUUUUGGUAUUGUCUGUACAGGAUAGGUGGGAGACUAGGAAACCAGGGCGUCAGCCUUGGUGGAGUCAACCUUGGGAUACCACCCCGACAGUACUGAAAUUCUAACUGGCGGCCAUGAAUCUGGUCACAGGACAUUGUUAGGUGGGCAGUUUGACUGGGGCGGUCGCCUCCUAAAAAGUAACGGAGGCGCCCAAAGGUUCCCCAGAACGGUCGGAAAUCGUUCGAAGAGUGCAAAGGCAGAAGGGAGCCUGACUGCGACACCCACAAGUGGAGCAGGGACGAAAGUCGGGCUUAGUGAUCCGGUGGUACCUCGUGGGAGGGCCAUCGCUCAACGGAUAAAAGCUACCUCGGGGAUAACAGGCUGAUCUCCCCAAGAGUCCACAUCGACGGGGAGGUUUGGCACCUCGAUGUCGGCUCGUCGCAUCCUGGGGCUGAAGUAGGUCCCAAGGGGUUGGGCUGUUCGCCCAUUAAAGCGGCACGCGAGCUGGGUUCAGAACGUCGUGAGACAGUUCGGUCCCUAUCCGUCGCGGGCGUAGGAAAUUUGAGAGGAGCUGUCCUUAGUACGAGAGGACCGGGAUGGACUGACCUCUGGUGUACCAGUUGUUCCGCCAGGAGCACAGCUGGGUAGCUAAGUCGGGAAUGGAUAAACGCUGAAAGCAUCUAAGCGUGAAGCCAACCUCAAGAUGAGAUUUCCCAUAGCGUAAGCUAGUAAGAUCCCUUGAAGAACACAAGGUUGAUAGGUCGGGGGUGUAAGCAUGGUAACAUGUUCAGCUGACCGAUACUAAUAGAUCGAGGGCUUGACCAAAU
rnacentral:rRNA from 1 species